UUCAGGAUCUCACCACGGCCUGCUGAGCAGACCAUGUUCAAAUCACAUAAAGAAAGGCCGUGCACUCCCCUGGAGGUCUUACAGGUCUUAGGUGUCUGAAAUCUGCUAUCUGGAGAAACUAGGUUGAGGGUCAGAUGGGCAAAUCCAAGAAGCAGCGUCUGCAGUGUUGUGUGGUGGCCGCAGGUGGACCGUAGCUGCAAGCCCUGCAGACCUCCGCUGCUCCCCGCUGCCACCUGGUCCUCCUCUGCCUCAGUCCACCUGAUGGCGCUCACCCGACCUCCACCAUGAGGACCUUGGCUCCCCCAACCCCCCACGCCCCUAGGGUCCUUGAACAUGUGUCAUUUACUGCGCACAAUUGCAAGAGGCCCAAGCUAACCGUGAGACCUGCAAUCUUAGUCUUUCCGGCCUCUGGAACUGUAAGAAAUGAACCUAUAAGAAAUGAAUCGGGUAUUUGGUUAUAGCAGCACAAAAUGGACUAAGACAGCCACCAGCUGUAGUUUUAGACACACAGCUAACUCCCACGAACUGUUUAUUACCUUGCGUCCAGCAGUGAAUGGAAGUGCUAGGAAAUGCUAACGCCUUCCAGGAAAAAAAAUGAGAGGAAAUUGUCAAAAUAAAGGACAGCGCUUCUGAGAAAGGACCGCUGCACCUCCGGUAUGACGUGAUCCUGGAUUGUGUGCGUGGCUCCCACACCACACCUGUACUCAGCUCUCUGAGCGUCCCUGGCCCUCAUGGCUGAGACGUAUGACAGUGACAUGGGAAAGACACACAGUCGAAUCCCUAGGGAAGAAGA